GGGUAGUCCACGCAGUAAACGAUGAAUACUAAUUGUCCGGGACGAUUGGGUCCUGGGUGAUACAGCGAAAGCGUUAAGUAUUCCACCUGGGGAGUACGCCGGCAACGGUGAAACUCAAAGGAAUUGACGGGGGCCCGCACAAGCGGAGGAACAUGUGGUUUAAUUCGAUGAUACGCGAGGAACCUUACCCGGGCUCAAACGACACAGGAAUACUUUUGAAAGGAGGCAGCUCUACGGAGCCUGUGUCGAGGUGCUGCAUGGUUGUCGUCAGCUCGUGCCGUGAGGUGUCGGCUUAAGUGCCAUAACGAGCGCAACCCCCAUCGCCAGUUACCAGCAAGUAUAGUUGGGGACUCUGGCGAGACUGCCGGCGCAAGCUGUGAGGAAGGCGGGGAUGACGUCAAAUCAGCACGGCCCUUACGUCCGGGGCGACACACGUGUUACAAUGGCAGGUACAGAGAAAAGCGAAGCGGCGACGCCGAGCGGAACUUGAAAGCCUGUCUCAGUUCGGAUCGGAGUCUGCAACCCGACUCCGUGAAGCUGGAUUCGCUAGUAAUCGCGCAUCAGCCAUGGCGCGGUGAAUACGUUCCCGGGCCUUGUACACACCGCCCGUCAAGCCAUGGAAGCCGGGAGUGCCUGAAGUGUGCAACCGCAAGGAGCGCCCUAAGGUAAAACCGGUGACUGGGGCUAAGUCGUAACAAGGUAAC
rnacentral:rRNA from 1 species